rnacentral:rRNA from 1 species
UACGUAGGGUGCAAGCGUUGUCCGGAAUUAUUGGGCGUAAAGAGCUCGUAGGCGGUCUGUCGCGUCGGCUGUGAAAUCCCGAGGCUCAACCUCGGGUCUGCAGUCGAUACGGGCAAACUGGAGUGUUGCAGGGGAGACUGGAAUUCCUGGUGUAGCGGUGAAAUGCGCAGAUAUCAGGAGGAACACCUGAGGCGAAGGCGGCCAUCUGGUCUGCAACUGACGCUGAAGCACGAAAGCACGGGGAGCAAACAGG